CCCUAGAGGCCAAAACAAAAAUUAUAAUCUCUAAUUCCCAAAUCUUACUAUUUUGGUCUUUUCUCACUUCAGUUUCCUUCACUUCUUCCUUGAUCUCGAAGGCGGAGACCGUGAGGAAGGACGAAGGAGCGGCUUACCAGUAGAGCGUCGGAUGGAGCUUGGCUCUUUCCUCCCCUUAAUCUCUCCGCCCUCUUCUCCGUCGAUGAAUGACUCUUCGAGUCUUCUGGAGGAAGACGAAGGUUUCGCGGGCGUGAUUUUCCCCCAAAAUCCGAUGCCCUAAUUCAGAGACUCGCCAUUUCACGGGCGUGAUUUUUCCCCAAAAUUCGGAACGGCCCGACGGGGGUCUUGAAGGUGAUCUUCCCGGUGAGCUCCUUGAUCUUCCCCCAAAUUCCUAAUCUUGCCCUACUCCACCUGGGCCGUGAUCUCGGGUGUGUGGGAGACCAGCUUCCCGAUCUUCUUGAGCUUGUAAGGACCUAACUGGGUUUUCUUUGGAAGGGCUGCUGGCGUCGGAGCUUGGAAAACUUAGUCAAUUACGAUCUCUUGUUUUUGCAGGGUGUGAACUCUCCAUUUUGCCUCCGUGACAAAGCUCUCUUCUGACUGAAGUAAGGAAAAAAUAAUCUCAAGAGAUGGCUCUUUCCAGUGCAAUGAUGCACAAUAAUCUCUCCUCGUGUCGUUAAAGCCAUUCAUAUACAAGUCAGAUGGCCCUUUUAUUUGGAGAGAGUCUGGGAUUUGCAAUAGGUACUACUAUCAAAUGCUGUGAAGCAUUCAUCAUAUCUUGAUAUGAACAACCAUAGGCAUAUUUUCAUAAGGAGCAGAAUUAGAUGACCCUUGUAUUUGGAGUCAUUGUCAAACUAUCAUACUUGCUUCCUGGUCUACCAGGCUUAAAUCUCACCCACAUUGGGAACCUGUCCUUCUGUUCCCUGCACCUAAACACCACCCUGCUGAGGUAAAUUACAAAGUUUGAAAGGUUAAAGGGAUAAACAUAGUCCACUCAUUCAGAUUCAUGAUGCAUUGCCUGGAGAGUUGCUGAGGCUCCGAAAAAUGACAAGUAUCAAUACACAUACUUCGGACACAAGAUAAACAGUUUCAAUAGUGCUCCCAAAAAAGUUCUGGCUUCUGACUCUCAUUUACGUCCCGAUAGAUAUGCACUUGAGCAAGGUGACCUCCCUAAAGUUGGUGCUGAAAAGAGCAGGUUUCUCUUCUUCUUCUUCUUCUUCUUCUUCUUCUUCUUCUUCUUCUUCACUUUAGAUGUGAUGUUUUAAUUUGGCAUUAGUUGGUACAUGCGAAAAAAAUGAAUUUUAAUUCUUGUUUGGGCUUGCUUUUGGUGUUGUUUAUGGUUAAUUUAGUUAUGUGCAGCUUGUAGAGGAUUGGCUUUUGUUGACAUUGUGUUGUUCAUUUCAUGGAGGUUUCUUUACUUGGGUUCUGUUGCUGAGAAUAGAGGAUGAGCACUUCAUGUUUCCGAACUUGAGGAGUUGUUGAGUGGUUGCAUUGAGUUAGAAGUGAGCUUCAUAGUCUUCAAUCAUCAGUAGACCCUUAAUGCAAAUAUUGCAUAAAUUGAUCAAUUACAAAUGCAUUGUGUAA